rnacentral:precursor_RNA from 10 species
CUGACUGGUCGAGUGUAGGCCAACCAGCGAACUCUGUAGACGAGGGUUUUUGUGUGGACCAGCAAUGGAUCAACUCAAAAUCACAGAAGCUCCGUUCUACGGGUCUGCUGGUUGCCUCCAGCAACACGAACGACGG